UCUUAGGAAGCAGAGAACGAAGAAAGUGGUGUAAUUUAAAGUUUCGUUUUUAAGUUUUAGAAGAUGCACACUGGCAUAGUCAUUUAAAAGAGCCAAUAAUCAUCAUGGAACAGUUAGAUAGAAUAUUGAACCAAGCAGUUUCAGUUAAGAAUAGUAAAAAAGUCGUAGUGAUCAAUAAAUAAUAGUUACAUACUGAGCUUAUGCUUUACUAAGCAUUCCAUAUUACUACUUCGUUACUCCAGAUCGAGAUCAGCUGAAAAUAGAACAAAGAAUUUUAUUUUCUGGUAACACCAGAAUUGAAUGAUGAAUACCGGCGCCGGCCAGGUCCGAAUGUUGAUCGGCUAAGGAAUAGGAAAGUUUGUUACUCCAACAUUUGUUGUUACUAGGCCGUAUAAACUACUGUGCACUCCACAAGUGUCACGGAAGGAAGAUAGUUGUUAGUAAAUAUUUCAGUGAUUGUAGUAUUCGCACGCAACGUCUGGGCUCAAGGUCCUUAUUUUUGAAAGCUGAAUUCACAAGUACUAAACGCAGGCUAAAAGAAAAUGGUUUAAUGCUAUCGCGGACUUUCAACAAUUUUUUAAGUUAAAAGCGUCUGCUACAAUAGUAACGAGUGGAAAUAAUUUAUGCAAACCGGUUGAUUUACAGGCCACUAGACAUAGGUAACCAGAAUUCCAACGCUUGAAUGGUUGUUUUGGUUUGUUUUGAGCCCGCAGUUAAAAAAUGGAUUUAUCUUGUAUAAAUUUAAAGUGUGAUACGUAACCUAACUGAAAAUCUACUGACUGUGUUUUAUCAGUAGUAAAAUUUCUGUUAUUUAUUCGACAUAACGUAAAACUUGUUUUCAAAAUUAGAUUCAUCUGCAUUAUUACUAUUAUAAUAUAAACGGUUUUUUUGUGAGAGGUGAUUUUUAUCAUUCAAAGGAUUCGAAUUUGCUAAACGACUCAUUGCGGUGUGUGUCGUCCUUUGACUAACUGAGACCGACGGCGACGAUGAAAAGCUUACAAUCAUCCAUCCGCUUGAAAGUAAAGCAUAGGUUUUAAGCGUAUUACUGUAAGGGGAGAACGAUUCAUUCAAUUGUUGGUAUCAGCACGGCGGUAUUAAAUUCUGUGAUAACUCACCCUUCGGCAUUGCGUUUGAUAGUAUUAUGUAGGUAUAGAAAUAUUUUCUAGCUCACUCGCUCUUCAAGAAGAAUAUGCACACCCAACAUCGACGACGGUACAUUUAAAUGAACAAAAAAUUCAUGGCGGUCAUCAAUCUUCUUCUAUGUUUGACUGACAGCUCAGGAACGAAACACAUGGGUGGUGGUUCCAAAGUAGUUUGUUUUUUUUUUAUGUUUGUUUGGAUAUGUACUGAGUAUAGUGCUAAUAAAAAUUCGAUUCAUAGCACGAGGGAUAACUUGACUUCAUCCCUGUGUUGCUCAUCUACGUAACUGUCUGGAAGUGCGGUAUAUGUUUGAAUGCUGAAACGUGAAGCUUGAAAAUAUAAAUGCAGGAAGGAAUACACGUUCAUCGUUUCACUGUCAGCGUAUCUUUUGCUCACAGUUCCUUCCUUGUCUCCCACCGUUUUUUUAUGUGUAGCUACUCAUUCAUUUUCUGCUUGUAUUGUUCUGUGAUCAAGAAAAUUCGUUUUCGAACGCGUCCAACGCGGAACACCUAGAGUGUCGUCAAAGAGCGGAAAAACGACAAACAUAGACACGGAAAAUCUAAAUAAAAUGUGUUGCAUGAUAAGCGUAGGAUAGAUGAUUUCAUGUAUGUCAUCAGCAACACUUUUCCGGAUAUUGUACAGUGAACGAGAGAAAUGGCUUUCCCAUCGUUUAAAAGUUUUCGAAAAAAAAUAUUUUCCGAACUAUUGUGGCAUAUUUAAAACAAUAUAACAAAAGGUCUCACUCGUAUUAAAUGAAACAAUUACGUAGACUAAAAUCAGUUUUGUGCAGUUUUUUUUUGUUAACUACGUUGGUCGAUUGAAUAGAAAUAAAAAAAAUAUGCAAUAAUUGUGGGAAAUUCGAAAACGUGUUCUGUUAGAAAAUCAACAUUCCUAGUUUCAUUAUAACAAUUGUUUCUCUAUUCAGAAAGCAUUACGAAGUGAACCAGAGCGAGUCACCGUUCUGAUUAUUGGUUCUCUUUGGUAUACGAGCUCUAAUUGGCAUUAAUUAAUUGUCAAUAAUCAAAAUUUGCAAAUCGUGGCAAUGCUCCAAGUUUGAAAAGAUGAUAUGUCAUUUUGAGAAUAAAUGUUCAAAUCCAAGAAGAAGUAGGUACUGUCCGGAGAAAGAUUUCCGAGUAGACCCCAGCAGCUUUUUGCCCCGCCAAAAAAUUUAUUGG